rnacentral:misc_RNA from 1 species
ACGAGUAAGGGUCUUCCCGGCCCGACCUCCCAACCCUUUGUCUACUCGACCAUCGUUGCUUCGGCGAGCCCGUCCUCACGGACCGCCGGAGGGCCCUCGCGCCCUCUGGCCCGCGCCCGUCGACAGCCCCCACAUUUAAAAUCUUAACUAAACGUGUCUUGAAUCUAAGUAUUAUUGUUAAAUAAAAACA